AGUGAACGCUGGCGGCAGGCCUAACACAUGCAAGUCGAACGGCAGCACAAGAGAACUUGCUCUCUUGUUGGCGCGUGUCUUACGGUUGAGGAAUGCAUCGGAAUCUGCCCAUUUGUGUUUGAUAACCUCUGGUAACCGCGACUAAUACCUCAUACGACCUACUGGUGAAAUCAGGGGAUCUUCGGACCUUCCGCCGAUGUAUGAGCCGAUGCCGGAUUAGCUAGUUGGAGGGGUAAAGGCCCACCAAGGCGACGAUCCGUAGCUGGUCUGAGAGGAUGAUCAGCAACAGUGGGACUGAGACACGGCCGAGACUCCUAAGGGAGGCAGCAGUGGGGAAUAUUGGACAAUGGGAGCAAGCCUGAUCAAGCAAUGCCGCGUGUGUGAAGAAGGCCUUCGGGUUGUAAAGCACUUUUGUUGGGAAAGAAAAGCAGACGGUUAAUACCCGGUUGUCAUGACGGUACCAAAAGAAUAAGCACCGGCUAACUUCGUG
rnacentral:rRNA from 1 species